rnacentral:rRNA from 1 species
GUACUACUCUCAGAGUUUGAUCCUGGCUCAGGACGAACGCUGGCGGCGUGCCUAACACAUGCAAGUCGAACGGAAGUAAAGAUUUCGGUUUUUACUUUAGUGGCGAACGGGUGAGUAACGCGUGAGAAACCUGCCUCUCAGUGGGGGACAACAGUUGGAAACGACUGCUAAUACCGCAUAACAUAUCCGGAGGGCAUCCUCUGGAUAUCAAAGCUUUAUGUGCUGAGAGAUGGUCUCGCGUCUGGUUAGCUAGAUGGCGGGGUAACGGCCCACCAUGGCGACGAUCAGUAGCCGGUCUGAGAGGAUGAACGGCCACAUUGGGACUGAGAUACGGCCCAG